CUCCCCUCUGCUCCCUGCUGCCCUUUCCCCUGCGGACUCUACCCGGGCUGCAGUGUCCCAGCCGAGCUCCGGACACGUGCUGAGGGGCCAGCUGUGGACUUUGGGAAGAUGCAGCUCCAGGAUGACUUGAAAGUAGGGCAUCCUUGGCCGUCCUGAAGAGAGAAAUUAGUGGCAGAUGGACAGUCUGUAUGGAGUUAUCAGAUGCCUUUACCUGAGUGAGAAACCUUCCUCCACUGGGACCUCAGAUGUCUGACAGCCCUUUGUGACACCAAGAUAAGUAAUUAUGGGGUUCAGAGAACUUAACCGGUGGUGAACAACACGUUGAGCUGCUGGGAGAGUGGCAUCCCUUCCCACAUACCUUGUCCUACACAUCUCUUCCAUCUGGAUGUUCGUUUGUAUCCUUUAUCGACUUCCCUAGUGGCACAGUGGAUAAGAAUCCGCCUGUCAAUGCAGGGACGGCUUUGAGCCUGGUCUGGGAAGAUCCCACAUGCUGCGGAGCAACUAAGCCCGUGCACCACAACUAAUAAGCCUGCGCUCUAGAGCCCGCGAGCCACAACUAUUGAGCCCACGUGCCACAACUACUGAAGCCCUCGCACCUAGAGCCCAUGCUCCGCAACAAGAGAAGCCACCACGAUGAGAAGCCUGUGCACCGCAACGAAAAGUAGCCCCUGCUCACCGCAACUAGAGAAAGCCCGCACGCAGCAACGAAGACCCAACACAGCCAAAAAAAAUAAAUUUAUUUAAAAGAAAAUUGUGGCGAGAACUAGAAUUUUAGAGAAGAAUGAUUAAUCUAAAGUCCAAGGCUUGGGACUUCCCUGGCGGUCCAGUGGUUAGGACUUCGGGCUUCCACUGCAAGGGGCCUGGGUUCAAUCCCUGGUCGGGGAACUAAGAUCUUACAAGCCGUGCAGUACAGCCAAAAAAAAAAAAAAAGUCCAAGACUUAAACUAAGCCCUCAUAUUCUAGAGCUCUGCUGUACACUACAUGUGUAUUUAAAUUGACAAAUAAAAUUCAUUUCUCCAUAUCAGUAUCUAGUGACUACCUACUGGCCAGUUUAGAAGACAUUUCCAGCAAUGCAGGAAGUUUACACUACUGUUCUAGAGCAGGAGUUGGCAAACUUGCUGUAAAGGGCCCGAUAAUAAUUUAGGUUUGUGCACCAUAUAGUAUCUGUUGCAACUACUCAAGUCUGCAAUUGCAGUGUGCAAGCAGCCAUAGAUAAUAUGUUAACAAAUGAACAUUACUGUGUUUAAAUAAAACUUUAUUUAGGGGGCUUCCCUUGUGGCACAGUGGUUAAGAAUCCACCUGCCAAUGCAGGAGACACAGGUUUGAGCCCUGGUCCGGGAAGAUCCCACAUGCCGUGGAGCAACUAAGCCCGUGUGCCUAGAGCCUGUGCUCCGCAACAAGAGAAGCCACUGUAGUGAGAAGCCUGGGCACCAUAACGAAGAGUAGCCCCCACUCACCACAACUAGAGAAAGCCAGCAUGCAGCAACAAAGACCCAACACAGCCAAAAAUAAUAAAUGAAUAAAAUAAAUAAAUUUAUUUUUUAAAAAAACUUUAUCUAGGGACACUGAAAGUGAAAUUUCACAAAAUUUUCAGUGUUGAAAGAAAAAAUUCCCCUCAACCAUGCUAAGCUUGAGAACCUUUCAAAAACAGAUGGCAGGGCAGAAUUACCAAACUCUGUUUUAAGGAAUGAAAUUCAGGCCUUGGGAGUUUACAGCUCAUUUGUGACAGAUUUAGGGCCAGUACUAACAUGUGUCCCUGAAAAAUUAUGUUAUCAAUACCUUUGCCUUAGAGCAAGCUUUUACCAUAUGGUAUUAAACUCCUUUUAGAGGACUGAGGUGACUUUAGUAAAUUAUCCAGUAGUAGGAUAGUCCUUAUUUCUUGUGUUUGGUGUUUGUUAUAUAUACUUUUUGAAUGAGUUACUUAUAAUUGUUCUCUUUUAACGUACACUAAUGUACAUCUAAAGAAGAGGCCCUAAGAAAGAAUAGCAAUCUGGUUUCCAGCAGAAGCUGAUCACAAACUCAACCCUAGGUAGUGAAAUAGAAAUGGUCCCUAAGGAAAGAGGAAAAUUUUAUAUAUCAUGAAUAGCCAGGGUUUAAAAUCUGAGAUCUCAAGUUUCUCUGAGCAUACAGAUUGCUUUCCUGAGCAUGGUAAAGCUACCCAGGUGCAGGGAGGGGCCCCAUGUUGCUACUUGAAAAGGGAAAAUUCAUUUGGUGUUUGUGCCUGUAUUCAGUACCCCAGGAGGUUUCAGUGGCUUAAUCAUGCACAUUAAAAUAAUUUAAUGGGAUUUCCUACUUGAUAAGUGAAGUUAAUUGGUCACCUACUACUCCCUGUCGGCUUGAUUUCUUUUUUUUAAGAUUUCCUAUUGAGUCUAAGAUGAAGUUACACAUUUCAGAGUAGCUUUUUGUCCAUUCCUUCUCUUUCACCAUCACCCUUUUCUCAUGCUGCAAUGAAAACUGAAAUUGGACUGGCAGAUAUUGGUCUGUAAAUAUCCAAGCUGCCACCUCCUGCCAUAGAUAGCAGUUUGUAAACACAAGUGCCCCUUUUCAUUGCUCUGCUCAAGUUUCAGGCCCUGUACUAUAUUAAGAGGGAAAAUUAAAACAGGAUGAGUAGGGGGCCCCAAGUAUUGAGUGCUAUCCCUGGCACCUGUCAAUUUAUUUUCCUUCUUUCAGGGUUGAAAGAAACUUGUCAAUGAACUUUUACAUUGAAAUUUCGGGUUAUAUCUCAAAUUUUAAUCAGGAAAACAAAACCCCAGAGGAUAAAUUCUGCAGGCCCCAAAGGGACAUAAAAAGGUGCCUCAGUGCCUAGGAAUUCACACAAAGGAAAACAACCUGGUAAGAGCAACUAAUUAAGAACCUAAAACAGUGAGGAUGGCUCUUGUGAGUCUUGUUGCUUAAUUAGGGCUUUAUGAACAGCUCCAGUUAAUGGACCUGUCAAUAUUCUCUUGGAAAACAAUUUAACUGAAUUAACAAAUCAACUGUAAUACUUAGAAUGUCUGCUUAGCAACACCUUUCUCUUUAUUGUUAUUUAGGAACACUUUUAAUGACCCAACAUGCUAGGUGAUAUAUUUGUCAAUUUAGGAUCCUAAGGCCUGGUUCAAAGGAGCCCCUGUUACUUUAGCUCUCCCUAAUCUCCAUUAUAAGCCCUUUGGGGUGUGAGAACAUUUUAUACUGCUUUUUAAGGGUGACUUAACUGUUACCUGGGAAAGGGGUGAUAAAAUGGACCUUGAAAUUUAUUUCAUUUUAGAAUAGUUGUAGAUUUACAACUAUUUACAACUGUAGAAAAGUUGUGAAGCUGGUGCAAAGAAUUCGCAUGUAGCCUGCACCCAGUUUCUCCUAAUGUUAACAUCUUAUAUUAGUAUAGUACAUUUGUCACAAUUAAUAGGCUAAUAUUGGUACAUUAUUAUUGACUAAAGUUCAUGCUUUAUUCACAUUUCCUUAGUUUUCACCUAAUGUCCUUUGUCUGUUCCAGGAUCCCAUUGAAGAUAUUACAUUUAGUUAUCAUGUCUCCUUAGGCUUCUCUUGGCUGUGACGGCUUCUUAGACUUUCCUUGUUUUUGAUGACCUCAAGUUUUGAGUAAGGCAUUUUGUAGAAAGUUUCUCAAUUAGUUUGAGUUAUUCUCAUAAGUAGGAUUUUCUCAUAAUUAGGAUUUAAAAAUCUUAAGUGAUUUUGAAAGGAAGACCACAGUACCAUUCUCCCAUAUCAAGGGUACAUACUAUCAACAUGACUUAUUACUAUUGAUGUUAACCUUGAUUACAUGGCUGAGGUCAUAUUUUCAGGUAUUUCCACUGUAAAGUUACCCCCUCUCCCCAGUGCUGUGCUCCUUGGAAUGAAGUCACUGUGUGCAGCCCACACUUAAGAAGAGUGGAGUUGCGGUAUUCUUUCUUUAUAAAUAUAUAUAUAUUUAUUGGAGUAUAGUUGAUUUACAAUGUUUCUGCUGUACAGCAAAGUGAAUCAGUUAUACAUAUGUCCACAGAGUAUUAAGUAGAGUUCCCUGUGCUAUACAGUAGGUUCUUAGUUAUCUAUUUUAUAUAUAGUAGUAUGGAGUUGUGGU